CAAAGAUUGACUUUCAGGGCAUAUUUCCAACAAUCUCCCACUUGCACUAAAGUCAAUCACUAGUGUAUCUCAUACAUCUUGUCGAGAGAGUUUAUGCUCGUAGGUUAACUUGGUUAUGUAUUAAUCUCUUUUAUUAAAAGAGAUUUACUUAUCAAAUGUUUCCAAGACAUUUGAUGAUGUCUCUUUAAUGUGUUCGAAUACUUUGAUGAGACCUUGAUUCCAUGGCUUGAGCUAUCGCCCCAUUACGUCGUAGUACUCUACUAACGACCUUAUGGUUUGGAUUCAAUCAUGGGUUCUAAAAGAACCCCUUUCAUUCAAAACACCUUUUUGAAGCAGUUUCUAAAACUAUAUAUCGACAUAUAUUUCGUUUGUAUACUUUAUACAAACUUUGCUCCAAGCUUGAGACCAUUGUAGUACAAUACUAACAAUUCUUUCAUAUGAUUAGUACUUCAUCCAUCAUGAAGUUCCAUUUGUUAAAAUGGCUUAUUUUCACUUUGGUUAACAACCUAAGUGAAUGCACGCUUCCAGAGUCCCACUCUGAUGUUUCUUUCUUAAAGGCAAUAAUACUCUAUCAGUUGCUUUGGUUCUGAUCCUGGGAUAUAGUAAUAUCUUAAAGUGAUUAACUCAGUGGUUUCUUCACCUUUGGAUAUCUACUUCACAAGUCAACACAUGUGUCCCUUUUUGUGAUUUUAUGACACAUUCAUUAUAAGGGUUGUGAAAGUGAUUUCUUAUCACAUAGGAAAAUGCUUUCUUAAAUCUUCAACAUUUGAGAUUUAAUUCCCAUAUAACAUUAUUGGGAUAGCCUUGCUAUAUCAGUAAGUCCAAUUUCAAGUCUAUACUUCAAAAUUGACCGUGUCAUGUUUUGUCAUUUUCGAGUAACAUCUAUGUUUCAUCAAGUCUAUCAAAUAGACUUUAUUCACAUCUUGUUGCUCAAAUUAUGACAUCACUCCCAUUGGCCUUGUUGUAACUUAGCAUUCAUUCAAAAAUAACACUUAUAUUUUCUUGAUUUGAAUGCGUGUUGCUCCCACUAACUUGUCUUGGAUCCAUUGAGAUCCAUUAGCUUAUUGAUGAUGUCUCAACAAUUUUGAGACCAUCAACAACCCUAGCUAACACAAGUUAUUAAACGAAUCACAUAAAAAGAAUUCCUUUAAAGUAAUUCCUUUUGUAUAUGUGACUUGUUUUAUCAAGUCUAUUCAUUUAAUUAUACGAUGUCAUACACCAUACUACAAGUUUUAGUCAUACUAAGACUUUUAAUGUAGUCAUAUAAGAAUUAUCUAAGUCUUUAGUGGAAGCAUGGCUCCUACUAAGGAUAUAGAUUCUCAACCAUUCCUUCUAGGUGGUUGAUAUAAUUCUCUAUCAAAACUACAUAGAGCAAUAUCGUUACAUAAGAUGUUGAAUUUGGAUUGUCUAGUUGUUAAACCAUAUGUUGUGACUCAUUUUGAAACUUAUUCCCUUUUUGUUUCAUCAACUUGUCCAUAUGCUUUGUUAUUAGCAUGUUCUCAUAAAAGAGAGAAUGAUGGACAACUCCCAACAUAUAACCAUUUUAUGCUAGGUUGACGAAACCAACAUUCAAAGACUAUUCUUUAAAUGUUACACAACAUAGAUUUUUAACGUUUGAAGAGCUUGAGUCCUUUUAACAAUUAAAAUUACAAACUCUUAAUAAUAGUCAAGUACUAUUAU
rnacentral:lncRNA from 1 species